UACGGAGGAUCCAAGCGUUAUCCGGAUUUAUUGGGUUUAAAGGGUGCGCAGGCGGAAGAUUAAGUCGGCGGUGAAAUUUUGCAGCUCAACUGUAAAAGUGCCAUCGAUACUGGUUUUCUUGAGUGUGGAUGAAGUAGGCGGAAUCUGUGGUGUAGCGGUGAAAUGCAUAGAUAUCACGAGGAACUCCGAUUGCGCAGGCAGCUUACUAGGCCAUAACUGACGCUCAGGCACGAAGGCGUGGGGAUCAAACAGGAUUA
rnacentral:rRNA from 1 species